CCUACGGGAGGCAGCAGUAGGGAAUUUUGCGCAAUGGGCGAAAGCCUGACGCAGCAACGCCGCGUGAUCGAGACGCCCUUCGGGGUGUAAAGAUCUGUCAGUGGGGACGAAACUUGACGGUACCCACAGAGGAAGCACCGGCUAACUCCGUGCCAGCAGCCGCGGUAAUACGGGGGGUGCAAGCGUUGUCCGGAAUUAUUGGGCGUAAAGAGUUCGUAGGCGGCACGUGAAGUCAGGGGUUAAAGGCAGAGGCCAAACUUCGGUACGGCACUGGAUACUUGCGAGCUAGCAUGCAGUAGAGGUAAGGGGAAUUCCUGGUGUAGCGGUGAAAUGCGUAGAUAUCAGGAGGAACAUCGGUGGCGAAGGCGGUUUACUGGGCCGUAAUUGACGCUGAGGAACGAAAGCCAGGGUAGCAAAUGGGAUUAGAUACCCCAGUAGUC
rnacentral:rRNA from 1 species